UGUAGGCUUUGGAAGCUGUUUAACUUGAGUGCAGAAGGGGAGAGUGGAAUUCCAUGUGUAGCGGUGAAAUGCGUAGAUAUAUGGAGGAACACCGGUGGCGAAAGCGGCUCUCUGGUCUGUAACUGACGCUGAGGCUCGAAAGCGUGGGGAGCGAACAGGAUUAGAUACCCUGGUAGUNCACGCCGUAAACGAUGAGUGCUAGGUGUUAGGUCCUUUCCGGGACUUAGUGCCGCAGCUAACGCAUUAAGCACUCCGCCUGGGGAGUACGACCGCAAGGUUGAAACUCAAAGGAAUUGACGGGGGCCCGCACAAGCGGUGGAGCAUGUGGUUUAAUUCGAAGCAACGCGAAGAACCUUACCAGGUCUUGACAUCCCGAUGCCCGCUCUAGAGAUAGAGCUUUACUUCGGUACAUCGGUGACAGGUGGAGCAUGGUUGUCGUCAGCUCGUGUCGUGAGAUGUUGGGUUAAGUCCCGCAACGAGCGCAACCCUUAUUGUUAGUUGCCAUCAUUCAGUUGGGCACUCUAGCGAGACUGCCGGUAAUAAACCGGAGGAAGGUGGGGAUGACGUCAAAUCAUCAUGCCCCUUAUGACCUGGGCUACACACGUGCUACAAUGGCUGGUACAACGAGUCGCAAGCCGGUGACGGCAAGCUAAUCUCUGAAAGCCAGUCUCAGUUCGGAUUGUAGGCUGCAACUCGCCUACAUGAAGUCGGAAUCGCUAGUAAUCGCGGAUCAGCACGCCGCGGUGAAUACGUUCCCGGGCCUUGUACACACCGCCCGUCACACCACGAGAGUUUGUAACACCCGAAGUCGGUGAGGUAACCGUAAGGAGCCAGCCG
rnacentral:rRNA from 1 species